AAGUUUGUUUAGUAAUAUUUUAUUUAUUAAUUAAUUUAGUUUUGUAGGUUGUGAAUUUAAUAGCAAAGUGCGCUCUUUGCAAAGUGAAGUAAAUUUGCUAGCAAAGACUAUUAAUUGCAAGUGUGUCCAUACCAACCAGACAAUGUGCCAUUUGGAUAUUAUGUGAUGAGGAUGUUGAAUGAUUACAUUGAACAUCCACGACCUGGACGUUACUUGAAGAAAGAGCUAAACACUACGCCAUAUACACCAACACAGAUUAAUGAAAUGCGACAACACUGGGCGAACCAUAUGCUACCGAUAAUUCAAAGUAAUCGUCCCACAUAUUAGGU